rnacentral:rRNA from 1 species
GAAAGCCGGUUAAUACCGAUACGACCUCGGGUGAAACAGGGGAUCCAAGACCUUCGCUAUUGGGCGGCCGAUUCAGAUUAGUUGUUGGUGGGUAAAAGCUACCAAGGCACGAUCUGUGCUGGUCUGGAGGACGACAGCCACACUGGACUGAGAACGGCCCAGCUCCUACGGAGGCAGCAGGGGGAAUUUGGACAAUGGCGCAAGCCUAUCCAGCCAGCCGCGUGCGGAAGAAGGCUUCGGGUUUAAACCGCUUUGUCAGGGAGAAACGGUCGCAUUAAUCCGUGGGCUAUGACGGUACUGAAGAAUAGCACCGGCAACUACGUGCAGCAGCCGGGUAAUACGAGGGUGCAACGUUAAUCGAAUUACUGGCGUAAAGCGGCGCAGGCGUUAUGCAAGCAGAUGUGAAUCCCCGGGUCAACCUGGAACUGCAUUGUGACUGCAGACUGGAGU